rnacentral:rRNA from 1 species
CUUAACGGAGUUUUUUAAAGUAUGUUUUUGUACCGAAAGGUUUUGAUCUUAGAUUUAGUUGUUUAGAAGUGUUGUUUGGUCUGGGUAAGGUCUUGUAAACUAAAUUUAUGUGGUGAUAAGUGAGUCGUAAAGCUUUAUAACUGUUUGGUUGUUUAGAAUUUAGUGGGAUGUAGGUGGCUAUUAGGUCAUUUAUAUUUUUAUACAUUUGGUGAUGUGUGGUUUUUGAUAAGGUUAGAGGUACCUAGUUUUUGUUAUAUUGUUGUAAAUAUGGUUUUGUUGGUUUAUUGGUAUGUUAAUUGUUUGAACAACUGUUUUGCUAUAUUUGGUUAUUAUAUUAUCGUUGAAUAAGUAAUUUUAUUAUGCUAUUUAUUUCUUGAGUUCUUUCCGUCUGUUUAUUAAAAACAUUUCUAAUUUUAAUUGUAGUUAGUAGUGCCUGCCCAAUGUUGGUUAAUUAAUGGCCGCAGUAUAUUGACUGUGCAAAGGUAGCAUAAUUAAUUGCCUUUUAAUUGGAGGCUUGUUUGAAUGGUUUGACGUGAUUGGUAUGAAUAUUUGGUAUUUAGUUGAAAUUGAUUUUGAGGGUUUAGAAUCCUUAAUGUUUAAUAAGACGGAAAGACCCUAGGAUCUUUUGUUUUUGUUUGGGGCAAAUAUUGUUGUUUUAUGAAUAUUGUGACCCU